GAAUUGUGCGAUCUCUGCUAAGUUGCCGUGUCCGCACACGCGUGUUACGCACACGUGUGCCGCGUGCGUUCAUGGUCGUCUUUGCCACCUCGCCUCUCUCUUUUCUAAGUGUCAGGCCGACUUUCCUUUUCUCAUCGUCAGAGGUGUGCACCACCUCGCUCUUGUCUCACUUCCUUCCGCAAGCCUCUCCUUGCCCCGCCUCUCUGUAUCCGCAUGUCUGCCGCGGUGACAUGGCUGCAGAAUAGUCUCGGCAUCGACGUGACAGGUGAGUGGGCUCGCCACGUUCAUCUCAACGUCGGUGGCACCCUUUACACGACACGCCGGUACACGCUACGGGAACUCAAAGACCAUCGCAUCUUUGGCCCCAUCCUGGAUGGCCACGCGCAUCGCUGCGAGGAUGGCAGUUUCCUGAUCGAUCGUGACGGCUCCUUGUUCCGCUACAUCAUUGCCUACCUCCGCGAUGGUCGCCUCUCCGUCCCGGACAACUUCGUGGAGUGGGAUAUGUUGCUUCAGGAGGUGCGCUACUAUGAGCUCCCGGCAAUGGAGAAAAGCGUCAUGGACCGCUUUGAGUUCCAGCAGAGCGUCUUCCGUCGCCAGCUGCCACACGGGGUGUACGUGUGGUGGCCGCCGGCGUCAUCGCAUAUCGAAGAAGGGGCAACAGUCAAGGCAGCUCCGUGUGAUUGUCCUGCAUCCGCGCCUACUCCACCCACUUCGCUUUUCGCCUUGUCGAUCACAGAUAGAGCGACAGGGAGGGGCGAAGCACGCGGUGCCACUGAGGACCAGACUCGCGCACUGGAGAAGGAGCAUGCCGAGGCGGCCGCUGAUGCUGCAACUCGGAGUAGUGCCGGUGUUGCGCCGUCUUCAUGCUCAUCAGCUUCCUUGCCUAUCCGCAUUGUGCCGCCGUUGCCUGGGCUGACGGUGGAGGCGGCGUCUGGGCGGCGGGUGGUGUUCCGUGAGACGCAGGUCCUCGAGGACCUCGACCAGCUCGUGACAGUGCUGCUCACGGCCUAUGGCUUUUCGAUCCAGCACUGGGACGCUGAACGAGGGCGCGUGCUUCUCACGCUGCCUGGGCUCAUGUAAUGGAUGCAAUAGAAGGAGCGAAAGGAAACAGGGGCGAUCCUGUUCCGUUGACACGAACGCCAACAUUGACACCCGCGACAACUCACAGAAAGCUUCACAUCUCGACACACGGUGUGCCUUUAAUUUCGCCUCCUUGUCUUCCAGUCUCGGGCAGAGCGAGGCGGAGC
rnacentral:misc_RNA from 1 species